rnacentral:rRNA from 1 species
AAGUCGUAACAAGGUUUCCGUAGGUGAACCUGCGGAAGGAUCAUUGCCUGAGGGCGCGAGGCCGAGUGUGACGUCGCCGUCAAAAAGCGACGGUUCGCGGAGCCCGCGCAUUAUACUCAUGACCCAUGUGAACCACCAAAGUGACGUGACGGUGGCGUCGGCGUCGUCGCCGACCCUCCAUCUCUCCUUUUUUUUUUACAUCAUUACCAACCACGUUUACCUUGCUUCUCUGACUGAGAUCGAAGCGACCUUAAAACCGUCGCGACCAAACCAAACAUAUCACAACUUUUAACAACGGAUAUCUUGGCUCGCGCAUCGAUGAAGAACGCAGCGAAAUGCGAUAAGUAGUGUGAAUUGCAGAUUCAGUGAAUCAUCGAAGUUUUGAACGCAAGUUGCGGUGCCGGGUUCUCCCGGCACCAUGCCUGCUUGAGUGUUUGUGACCCAACUCGCCUCGCACGCCUUCGUACCACGUUGCGCGUGCGAGAACGCGGAACUGGGCGAUCACGACCGCGGCGCACCGUGUUAAACCGGUGCUCGUGGGCGCGUCGCUUCAAGUGCAGAAACUCGAUCGAUGCCGCGGUACCGUGCAUCGGACACCCCGACGUGGUAAGGGACGCGCGUUCACACGCGCAACUUCCUCGAUCGUCGAAGGCGGCCGAACCAAACAAUGGCACGAGAAACGGCUCGAACUCAACGAGUUCACAAACAAAGUACCCUCGGGGCUGCUUCCGCGUGGUAACACACGAAGCCACCCGAACCAUUCAACAUUUGACCUCAAGUCAGGUAAGAGGACCCGCUGGAUUUAA